CUUUUCCGUGCAAACCGGGUCCAAAUGGCUUUUUGGGUCUUAAAUGUUGCUGACCCCUGGUUUAGAUGAUUGUCUUUAAAACCCUCACUGAAGAGUCUUGCUGGAGACAGCCACACAUUUACCUCACUGCAGCAGGGGUGAAGAAGUGGGUGCAAGUCCAUUUAGGUCAGAAUUCAUAUGAUUACAACCAAUACAUAUUAGAAUAAAAUAAAUAAAUGUGCAAUGAACAUGUCAGGAGUGCUGUUAAAAAGUCUCAUGGCAGUGGGGUUAAAGGACCUCUUGAACCUCUGAUUCCUGCAGUGCAGUGAGGUGAGCCUCUGAAGCUCCUACUGUCCUGUGAGGAUGCUCAGGUGAACAUCAACACCAGCCCCUUGGUGUUGUUGUUCAGGAGAAGACGGUUCUUAUUACUCCAGCCAGUUAAAUAAAUUUAUCAUAAUACACUACAUUUUAACAUAAUGACCUUAUAUUUAUUUAUGACUUUUAACCAUUACUUCAAAUUCAAAUAAUCCUGUUUGAAAUAUUGAUUCAACUUAUAGAAUUAAAUUUCUGCUAGUUGUUUUCUGUUGCAAAGAAAUCUAGUAUAAUAAUAUUUAAAUUUACAUAUAUAUCUUUCACGUUUUCAAUGCCAAUUUUGUGUAAUAACGGAGUUUCCCACUACCCGUGAAUGCCUCUUUUUUUACGUCGCCGGCUCACUCCUCCAUCUCCGCCCACUCUCUGCUGAUCCCUGCCGGCCCGAGUGAAAGAGAUCUUUGGUUUUGCCUUUGCUGACUGCUGAUCUGAUCGUCUCAAGUCUGGUGACCUGCUGCAGAAGAUCCUCUCUCUCUAUCAUUAUAAGCAAUUCUGUCUAUCCUAUCACUCUCCCGACUCUAUCUAAUUUGACAGCCAUUCUAUCUUGUAUCCCUACUGCUCUAUCUAAUUUGACAGCCAUUCUA